rnacentral:rRNA from 1 species
CCUACGGGGGGCAGCAGUGGGGAAUAUUGGACAAUGGGGGCAACCCUGAUCCAGCCAUGCCGUGUGUGUGAAGAAGGCCCUCGGGUUGUAAAGCACUUUCAGUGAGGAAGAACGCCUGGUGGUUAAUACCCAUCAGGAAAGACAUCACUCACAGAAGAAGCACCGGCUAACUCCGUGCCAGCAGCCGCGGUAAUACGGAGGGUGCGAGCGUUAAUCGGAAUUACUGGGCGUAAAGCGCGCGUAGGUGGCUUGAUAAGCCGGUUGUGAAAGCCCCGGGCUCAACCUGGGAACGGCAUCCGGAACUGUCAAGCUAGAGUGCAGGAGAGGAAGGUAGAAUUCCCGGUGUAGCGGUGAAAUGCGUAGAGAUCGGGAGGAAUACCAGUGGCGAAGGCGGCCUUCUGGACUGACACUGACACUGAGGUGCGAAAGCGUGGGUAGCAAACAGGAUUAGAUACCCCUGUAGUC